rnacentral:rRNA from 1 species
UACAGAGGGCCCGAGCGUUGAUCGGAAUCACUGGGCUUAAAGGGUUCGUAGGCGGAUUGACAAGUGCUUUGUGAAAUCCCACGGCUCAACCGUGGAAUUGCUUGGCAGACUGUCAGUCUUGAGCACGACAGGGGCCAUCAGAACGCUAGGUGGAGCGGUGAAAUGCGUAGAUAUCUAGCGGAAUGCCGAAGGUGAAGACAGAUGGCUGGGUCGUCGCUGACGCUCAGGAACGAAAGCAUGGGUAGCGAACGGG